rnacentral:rRNA from 1 species
CCUACGGGAGGCAGCAGUGAGGAAUAUUGGUCAAUGGACGCAAGUCUGAACCAGCCAUGCCGCGUGCAGGAAGACGGCUCUAUGAGUUGUAAACUGCUUUUGUACGGGGGUAAAAGGUGACACGUGUAUGUGUCUGUAAGUAUCGUACGAAUAAGGAUCGGCUAACUCCGUGCCAGCAGCCGCGGUAAUACGGAGGAUUCAAGCGUUAUCCGGAUUUAUUGGGUUUAAAGGGGGCGUAGGUGGACUGUUAAGUUAGAUGUGAAAGCUCGAGGCUCAACUUCGGAAUUGCAUUUGAUACUGGUCGUCUUGAGGGCAGUAGAGGUAGGCGGAAUGCAUGGUGUAGCGGUGAAAUGCGUAGAGAUUA